GACGAACGCUGGCGGCGUGCUUAACACAUGCAAGUCGAGCGGUAAGGCCCUUUCGGGGGUACACGAGCGGCGAACGGGUGAGUAACACGUGGGUGACCUGCCCUCAGCUCUGGGAUAAGCCUGGGAAACCGGGUCUAAUACUGGAUAUGACUCCAUGACGCAUGUUGUGGGGUGGAAAGCCUUGCGCGGCUGAGGAUGGGCCCGCGGCCUAUCAGCCUGUUGGUGGGGUGAGGCCUACCAAGGCGACGACGGGUAGCCGGCCUGAGAGGGCGACCGGCCACACUGGGACUGAGACACGGCCCAGACUCCUAUGGGAGGCAGCAGUGGGGAAUCUUGCGCAAUGGGCGGAAGCCUGACGCAGCGACGCCGCGUGAGGGAUGACGGCCU
rnacentral:rRNA from 1 species